GCUGAACUAGAUGCCGUAACCACCGCUCCGAAGCCGACGGCGGGGGCAGCUAGAUCUCGGCGCAGGUUCCUUUGACCCAUAGAUAAAACGGACCCAAACCCUCUCUCGCGUGCUUAAUCCAAUCACGCGAAUACCCUCCCACAUUGACAAGACCUAAAGCGGACGCUAGUUCACGAAGACUGCAUCGUAGUGAUAGUCGGUCGUAGCCGUCAGGAUUUCACGGCGACUGCUCCUCGGUGGGUGUGGGAAUUACCGGGAGCGGAGGGCGUGCAUUGGCAGGAAGCGUGUUGCGGCCGGUGCAAGCUCGCCGGUGAGUAACCAUCUCAGAAUCACCUUUUC
rnacentral:lncRNA from 7 species